CGGCUCCCUACUGGACCGGCCCACUGCGAGCUCCCCUGAGGCGACCGGUCCUUCCGCCUGCUCUGCUCCCCCAGAAAAAAAAAAAAGAGCGAGACGGCGGCGAGGCGAGGGUGGAGAUGCGGCCGCGCGGUCCCAUCGACCACGCCGGGAGGCUUCCGACCGGCGGCGAGAUGCGAGGCAGCGCUGCGGCUGUUCCGUGAGGCUGAUCCGCCGAGGCACCGUUCAAUCAUCAGUUCCCGCAAGCAUCCAUUGUUGUUUGAAGCACGCCGCUCGCCGGCGGCGACCAACGGAGGUCCGAACUCCGCCGUCCACAAGCAUCAAACAACCGAACUGAAGGAACGAAAAACAGCAGUGACAUGGACAGACACGAUUUACUAAUCUACGAACAUUCACCGCUGCAAAUCCAUGGAUUCACGAGCUGUCAACAGAGACCUGUCAAAGUAGGCAACAUAAGCAUAUCCAUGAGGCGCAAUCGUGGCUUCAUAUCCUCGAGCUCUUCGAUCUCUGGUGCCAGACAAGAAGCUAAGCAAACGGGGUUCAUGUAUCUCACAGCAACGUCCGAUGAUGACGAUCGAUGGAUCCAAGGAGGUACAUAUCCUUUGCAUACGAAGAACAAGAGGCGUGCAACGUGCGUGUUGCAUAUACUGUUCUACUCCCUCUGUAAACUAAUAUAAGAUCGUUUAGAUCAUCAUUCUGUCAUUUCAAAAAAUAUAUAUACCUCCAACGGAGCUUGAAUUUUUUCCCAUGCCAGUAAAAUGGACACUCUCACUGUAUUGCAUAAUUUAUAUACACAUUUACUAACUACUACCCGGGUGCUUAUUGCACACACACAUAGUCAAGUCUACCCAUACACGUGCAUCACGGUGUGUGUGACCAAUGUGAUGGAAAACGAAUGGAUAAAUGAAUGUGACGGCCAAACCAUCAGCUAGGGCAGGCUGGAAGGACCCAUUAUCACAUCACUCAACACUCAUCCAUGAAGGAAGCAGUAGGUUCUAUUGCUGUUGGCUGAGAAUGGCAGGCGGGACCGGUCUGGAUGGAAGUUGGAGCAGUACCUAUGAUGGAGGUUGGAACAGUGCAUGGCAUCAAUACCGCUUGACUAUGUAGCUAAGCUAGAGAGCAAAGCUUAAGAAGUUGGCAGGGUUUGCGGUUCUCUUGUGCACCAAGUGAAGUGAUUCCUCCGUUGCUCCAAUCCUGUCUCGUAUUUGUUGGAAUUUGUAGAGAUUUUACAGUUCCUGAUCCGAGGAGGGGAGAUGUCGGAUGAGGAACAUCAUUUCGAGUCGAGGGCCGACGCGGGUGCGUCGAAGACCUACACGCAGAAGGCCGGCACCAUCCGGAGGAACGGGUACAUCGUCAUCGAGAACCGCCCCUGCAAGGUUGUUGAGGUUUCAACAUCUGAAACUGGAGAUUAUGGCAGCUGCCACUUUGUUGCGUAGUUCGUUUCACAGCCCCGUAAACUGAAUUGGCACAUUCACAGGGUUUAGUUAUAGGACUAACCAUGGCAUAUAUGCGAAAUUCUGAAAGAACAAUCAGUACAAGCAGCUGGAAAUUAUGGCUUCUUGUGUCCAAACAGCGCCACAAAUCCCAGACAGGGAAAAAUGCUAAAUCUAACCAUGACAGCACUGGUGUAACAUAGACAGGCAUAAUUCACUAAUCUAACAUUCAUCACUGAAAAUCCAGAUACAAGAGUAGCUAAAACAAGCAUAACAUCCUUUUUGCUUAGAAACAAUAGUUACGCAAACGGCAAUUUAAA